AAACUCUCACAUUGCGGGACGCAGUGUCCAUAACCAAAGAAUCGAGAGGCUGUGGCGAGAUGUUUACAUCUGUGUGUUGGAUGUUUUCCAUUCCAUCUUCUCAUGUUUGGAAAGCAUGGGUUUGCUACAUCCAGACAACGAGCUCCACCUGUAUGCUCUCCACUGGGUCUUCAUACCUGUGAUCCAGUCCCAUCUCGACUUCUUUGUCCAGGGAUGGAACAACCACAGCAUCCGAACUGCCAGGAAUAUGUCUCCCCUGCAAAUGUGGCAUGUGUUCAGGAACAGUGAAGAUAUCAUGCAGGUCAGUGAAGAAUAUGGGACUGACUGGAGUGGACCAAGUGCAGCAGGGGUGGACACUCAUCUUGACAUUCCAGAGACUGAGCUUCCAAGGCAGCUUACUGAAGCAGACUUUGCCCUUUUACCUCAACCAAGCACAGAGCAACGUGACUACGGUGUUCAACUUUAUUGUGAAACUGUGGAAGUAUUGUCUAGAUUAUUUUAAGGAGAACCAGGGCAUGUCCAAGAUACAGCACAACUACAGUAAUUCAGCCCCCCAACAGACCGGAAGACUUUGUCUUUGACAAACUACCCUUCUCCUUGUAGUCCUCUCCUGACAAAAUGCAUAUAUAUAUGCUCACAGAAGACAAGACACCGAACAUUUUUGAUAAAAAGGGAAGUCCUUGAUUGAGAUUAAUUAACUGUAACAUGCCUGUAUUUUGCUUUACUACACUACUAAGAAAGACAAUAAAGUGUUAGUUACUAGUCAAGAUUUUUAUGGGGGAAAUCAGGUACCACAACAAUAAUUACAGGGAGAACAGAAAAGUACAGAAGGUAAUUUAAAGAUAUAACAAACAAAAUAAAUUCAUGUAAUUAUAGGUCUGUGGCGAGUGGGGCGGGGCCGAGAGGCGUGGGGAACAGGAGUGAGGCCAGGUGUAGUGAUUGGAGAUGAGCUACACC